UUGAAGAACACGUUCUCAUCAAAUCCUUACACUAUUAUCCCAUUUGUCAUUUAAUAUUUCCAGAUUCUAACCAUGUAUUACAAGACUUGGUCAUGAAUUAUCAAUCAUAUUUAUUAUGAUCUGGCUCAUCAGCUGCCAAAAAGGAUCAUCAUUUGUGUUUUACGGUUUCGGCCCGAAACGUUGCCUAUUUCCUUCGCUCCAUAGAU